AAUUUCUAUUAAAGAGAAUAACAGUCAUAUAAGUCAGUUCUAAAGUUAAAUAUUUAUGAAGUACAGCCAAUAAAAUUCACGUAAAGUUAUCCAAUUGAAAUCAGAUACGUAUCUUGUGUCACAUAUCGUCUAAGAAGAACGGAAAGAUCCUUAGUAUCGUGUUGUGCGGAGAAUAACGAAGUAAAUUCGUCACAAAUUGGAAAUCAAGACAUUGCAACAUUGAUAAGCAUCUUCAGAUGAAAAAUAACGUUCUGAUCUUACUAAAUUCUCGGAAAAAAAGAACCACACAAAAACACACUAUGUAUUAUACAUUGCGAAGAGUAUGUUACAUCAUUCUCAUGAUUUUAUUCACAGGUGCACUAAUAGAAAAUACAUUAAGCAGUAAAAUAUAUACAG